UUUUUUUUUUCCUUUAUAAACUCUGCCCGCCUACAAAUUAUUCCUGCGGAAGCUUGCCUUUCACUUUCUUUCUCUCACUGCCUAGAACCCUGUAUCGCGUUGUCAACCUUGUAAAGUCUGUUUUUAGCUUGAACCCUUAUAAUUAAAGUGUGUUCUGGUGUUGGCUUAAUUAAGUUCUGUCAUAUAGUAAAACAUUAUUUCCCGC
rnacentral:lncRNA from 1 species